GGACUAAAGCGUCGGAUUGCUAAUCCGUUGUACGAAAUUUUCGUACCGAGGGUUCGAAUCCCUCUCUUUCCGUUUCCGUCGAUGAUUU
rnacentral:tRNA from 1 species